AGCUGAGUUCAGAUGACAAGGAAUCAAAUAAGUUACCAUCAAAACUAAUAAAGGAAAAGUAACCACAAUAUAUCUUCUUAAUGUUUCAAUUGCAACAGAGCUUCAAACAAUCAAUUCAGGCUUGGGUCCAAACUAAGUUCAAAAAAUAGAGUACAACAGAGUUACAUUACAAUCAGUUCAUUACAUUUAAAAUAGGGAUUCACACAUCCUAACAAAAACCAAAAUAUCAACUUGUUUAUUCUACCCUGUUAAAAUCCAUCUUGCAUCUGUCAAGAGGAAAAGAAAAGAGAUUUACCAAGUCUACAAUUCCUUGUAUAUCCAAUACACGGAACAAAUGUAGUAAAAUUGCAGUUUUUCCUCCUUUGUACAACAUGAUUAUGUCCAGAAGAUGCAAGCAUAAUUCAUAAUCAAUUCAACAUAAGAAGAAUCACUACGAGGACUGGUGUUGUUUUUAUCAGUUCCAAUAUCUGUCUUCUUAUCCGGUUGGAUUGAAUCUUUACAAGCAUGCUGUGAAAAGUCUACAGGUUCAGGUACAUGGGGAGGUACAACACUCCUCACUAAAGCCCAGAGUACAACAGAGCUUCAUUACAAUCAAUUCAUUACAUUUCAACCUCCGAGAUCUGCAACACCACGAAAAUCAUAAUUAAACUCCAUAACCGUAUAACCCCACCACUUUUAUCCUAUAACAAAACAAUAUAUAAAAGGAAAAUUAUUUUUGUUCAUACUCUUUUCAACUAAUGUAGCUCGUGUGAUUCACAAAAUUCAUAUCUUUAGGUAUAUAUGACAAAAUGUGAAGAAGAUCUUAAACCCAACAAACUCAAAUCAGUUAGUUAAUGGGCAAUAAAGAAACUAACUGAAAUUCGUAUAGAAACCUGCCAUAAAUAACCACACGAAGAUAAAUUCAUAAUAAAAAAUAAACAAAACUAACAAUAGACCUAAACCACACAUAAUGUCACAGUAAUCCACAUGUCAAAUGAGUGCACAAUCAAGAAUCAACAAAAUUUGUACAACAUGAAAUACCCACAUCACUACUUAAAUGAACAAUCUGAGAAUCAUAAAAAUCAACUACCUUUAUGAAAAAAAAAAACUACCAAAAUUUUUAAAAAGAAAUCAAAAAACACACAAUGGUUUUGAGAAAAAUACCAUCUUGAGUGACAAGUGGGUAAUCAGCAGCAGAAAGAUUGAUGAACCAGUCUCAAUUAGCCGAAAACCGAAGAAGUAUUACACAUCCUACAUUUUACAUGUAAUGCAUAAAUUUUUACUUGAAAGGAAACUAGUGCAGAGUAUAAAAGGAAAAAAAACCAAGAAAAACAUAAAAAAAACUAAGUAAUGCCGAUAACAACCUUGAGCAGCACAUAAGGAAAAGAUAACAGCAUAUCAAAGCAUUAAACCGUUAAGUACUCUGCUUUCGUGAAAUUCAAAUUGCACAAGUGUUGUCCAAAUAUGUUACAGACAUGUGCUGACUUAAUUCUCUAACAAAUUUAAGAGGAAAAAGAACAGGGAAUUUUCAAGUCAUAUGCACCUCUACGUUUGAAAAAUGGGGGCAUAAGACUUUAAUAAAUUAGGUAGAUUAGGGCUAGUUUGGAUUUAGCAUAACAGGUAAAUUAGGUAAAAGAACAGAGGAACAGUUAAGGUGUAAAAUUAAACUGCAAAAGUACCAAAUCGUAAGCCCUUACCGACUCGAACUGAUGAGAUGAAGGAGAUGCGAUUCUAGGGCACGUCGAAAUUUCAAGGCUAUAGGGCUCUCUCUUCUUCUAAAGACUAUAGGGCUCGAUUACUCUGAAGAUUUUGACAUCGAUUGAAGAUUUGGAGAACGUUCUGUGAAGAAUGGAAUCAAAAGAUGGAGAAGAACUCGUUCCCUCAGUCGAAACACACAACCCUUGAACUGAGAUUUCUAGGGCUUGACUUUCUCUCUUGUAGCAAUCGCAUUUCUGGAGGGGAUCAAGGGCUUCGCUUUCUCUCUCUUCGAUUUUGCAGCCAUCGAUUUCAAGGGAAUCGAUUUUUCCAGCUUCGAUUUUGUGGCAAAGGGUUUUCUGGCUAGAGGGAGUCGUUCUAUUAUGAUUGAAUGAGGAGAGAAAGGAAAAAACACGGAGGUUUUAAUUGAAUGUGUAUGUAUAUAUAUAUAUAUAUAUACUUGUAUAUAUGCUCAAAUAUAUCUUAUAGUUAAAUAUAUUUGAUAUAUAUAUAUAUUUUGAAAUAUAAGUUAAGUAUAUGAAGAAUAUAGUUUGAAAAAGAUACGAGUUUUAGAAAAUAUAUAUGUAUAUAAAUAUAUUUUUAUAAAGAGAGAUGAAAGAUUGUAAAGUAAAUUAUCAGAGAAAAAAAUUUAAUCUAGUUUUGAAACUCUAGAUCUAAAAUUUGACAAAUCUGAUAUCGAGAUGAAGACCAUUUAUAGAUCCAGUUUUGAUAUUUUAGAUAUGUAACAAGAGAAACAAAUCUUAAGAGAUAUAAGACAACCAACCAUAUUUUAUAAAGAGAUAACCGAAAAAAGAUUAUCAUGAUUAUUUUUGACAUAUUCAAAGCAAAGAAAUAUUAAGUUUUGUAAAUGAUUUUGAUAGAGCAAAAUUAAUGAUAGAUCAAACAUAUGAGAGAGUUAAUUCUCAGACAAUUUUAAAAAAAAAAUCGAAAAGAAAUUAGGGUUUCAGAGAUUAAAUUUUUUUUGGGAUUUUUGUAAAGGAUUUAUAUCUAAAGAAUAAUAGAGCUAGCUUGAUCCAAAUGAAACUCAAGAACACGAAGGAUCUAUCAUUUGACAUAUCUGAGAUCUAAAUAAAAUGAAAAAAAUUAAAUUUUUUUAAAAAAAUUAGUAAACACGUGAUUUAGACAGCGAAGAAUCAUUUAAUCUGAGUGAAAUUUUUGAAAACGUACGGGAGAUUAAAGAUUUGAGUUGAGAUAGAUUUAGGGUUUGAGAAAGUUUUGGGGAGAAAGAGAAAACGAUCAACUAAGGAUAGGGAAAUAGAAGAAGAAAAA
rnacentral:lncRNA from 1 species